UACAGAGGUCCCAAGCGUUUGUUCGGAUUCACUGGGCGUAAAGGGUGCGCAGGUGGGUUGGCAAGUUUGAUGUGAAAGCCCCGGGCUUAACCCGGGAAUGGCAUUGAAUACUGCUGAUCUGGAGGAUCGGAGGGGGGACUGGAAUUCUUGGUGUAGCAGUGAAAUGCGUAGAUAUCAAGGGGAACACCAGUGGCGAAGGCGAGUCCCUGGACGAUACCUGACACUGAGGCACGAAAGCCAAGGGAGCAAACAGG
rnacentral:rRNA from 1 species